CCUACGGGAGGCAGCAGUGGGGAAUAUUGCACAAUGGGGGAAACCCUGACGCAGCGACGCCGCGUGAGUGAUGAAGUACUUCGGUAUGUAAAGCUCUAUUGGCAGGGAAGAAAAUAACGGUACGUGAGUAAGAAGCCCCGGCUAAAUACGUGCCAGCAGCCGCGGUAAUACGUAGGGGGCAAGCGUUAUCCGGAUUUACUGGGUGUAAAGGGAGCGUAGACGGUAGUGCAAGUCUGGAGUGAAAGGCGGGGGCUCAACCGCCGGAGUGCACUGGAAACUGUACGGCUGGAGUGCAGGAGAGGUAAGUGGAAUUCCUAGUGUAGCGGUGAAAUGCGUAGAGAUAAGGAGGAACACCAGUGGCGAAGGCGGCUUACUGGACUGUAACUGACGUUGAGGCUCGAAAGCGUGGGGAGCAAACAGGAUUAGAUACCCUUGUAGUC
rnacentral:rRNA from 1 species